UACGUAGGGUGCGAGCGUUAAUCGGAAUUACUGGGCGUAAAGCGUGCGCAGGCGGUUCGUUGUGUCUGUGGUGAAAGCCCCGGGCUUAACCUGGGAACGGCCAUGGAAACUGGCGAGCUGGAGUGUGGCAGAGGGGGGUGGAAUUCCGCGUGUAGCAGUGAAAUGCGUAGAGAUGCGGAGGAACACCGAUGGCGAAGGCAGCCCCCUGGGCUAACACUGACGCUCAGGCACGAAAGCGUGGGGAGCAAACAGG
rnacentral:rRNA from 1 species